rnacentral:rRNA from 1 species
AAAAUAAUUUAAAGUCUAGCCUGCCCAAUGAGAAUUUGAAUGGCCGCAGUAUUUUGACUGUGCAAAGGUAGCAUAAUCAUUAGUUUUUUAAUUGAAAGCUGGAAUGAAAGGUUGGACAAGAAAGUAGCUGUCUCUUUAUAAAUUAGUUAGAAUUUUAUUUUUAAGUUAAAAAGCUUAAAUGAAUUUAAAAGACGAGAAGACCCUAUAGAGUUUUAUAAAUUUUAUGAUUAAUUUUUUUUAGAAUUAGUUUAAAUAAAUUAUAAAUUUUAUUUUAUUGGGGUGAUGGAAAAAUUUUAUUAACUUUUUUUAUAUAGAAACAUAAAUAUAUGAAUUAUUGAUCCUUAGUUUAAGAUUAAAAGAUUAAAUUACCUUAGGGAUAACAGCGUAAUUUUUUUGGAGAGUUCAAAUCGAUAAAAAAGUUUGCGACCUCGAUGUUGGAUUAAAAUUAAAUUUUGGUGUAGAAGCUAAAAUAUUUAGGUCUGUUCGACCUUUAAAAUUUUACAUGAUCUGAGUUUAAACCGGUGUGAGCCAGGUUGGUUUCUAUCUUUAAAAUAAAAUAAUAUUUUAGUACGAAAGGACCAAAUAUUUAUAAUAAAGUUAU